rnacentral:lncRNA from 10 species
CCUACUUUGGUGCUUGGCACCCUGGAGGUACAGGAGCUACAUCUGCUGAAUGAACAGCACUGAGUAAGGACUGGUUUCUGCACUCCAGUUUGCAAUCUCACAAAGACGCCAGACAUACCAAAACAGCUUUCUACAUGGAGUGCUAUGGACACACUGGUGGUUGACAAUAAUAAGAACUUUUUGAAGGCAAUGUCAUUGUAAGUAUAGAGUUAUGCUCUGGCCACAACUCACAUGAUAGGAUAAAAAUUAUCACCCAGAUUACUAAUGCAACAGCUUCCUCAUCAGGUUCCCCAAGACAA